GAGUUUGAUCAUGGCUCAGAAUCAACGCUGGCGGCGUGCCUAACACAUGCAAGUCGCACGAGAAAGUGGAGCAAUCCAUGAGUAAAGUGGCGCACGGGUGAGUAACACGUGAAUAAUCUACCUCCGAGUGGGGAAUAACUGAGAGAAAUCUUAGCUAAUACCGCAUAACACUUACGAGUCAAAGCAGCAAUGCGCUUGGAGAGGAGUUCGCGGCCGAUUAGUUAGUUGGCGGGGUAAUGGCCCACCAAGACGAUGAUCGGUAUCCGGCCUGAGAGGGCGCACGGACACACUGGAACUGAAACACGGUCCAGACUCCUACGGGAGGCAGCAGUGGGGAAUUUUGCGCAAUGGGGGAAACCCUGACGCAGCAACGCCGCGUGGAGGAUGAAAUCCCUUGGGAUGUAAACUCCUUUCGAUAGGGAAGAUAAUGACGGUACCUAUAGAAGAAGCCCCGGCUAACUUCGUGCCAGCAGCCGCGGUAAUACG
rnacentral:rRNA from 2 species